rnacentral:tRNA from 1 species
ACUGAAAUAGCUCAGUUGGUAGAGCGUCAGACUAUAAAUCAAAAGGUCCUUGUUUCGAUCCCCGGAUCCGGCA